UACGAAGGGGGCUAGCGUUGUUCGGAUUUACUGGGCGUAAAGCGCGUGUAGGCGGACUUGUAAGUUGGGGGUGAAAUCCCGAGGCUCAACCUCGGAACUGCCUCCAAAACUACAAGUCUGGAGCAAGAUAGAGGCAAGUGGAAUUGCGAGUGUAGAGGUGAAAUUCGUAGAUAUUCGCAAGAACACCAGUGGCGAAGGCGGCUCACUGGCCCGGUACUGACGCUGAGGUGCGAAAGCGUGGGGAGCAAACAGG
rnacentral:rRNA from 1 species